rnacentral:rRNA from 1 species
CAGUAGCCGCGGUAACACGAAGGGUGCAAGCGUUAAUCGGAAUUACUGGGCGUAAAGCGUGCGUAGGCGGUGAGUUAAGUCUGCUGUGAAAUCCCCGGGCUCAACCUGGGAACUGCAUUUGUGACUGGCAAGCUAGAGUGUGGCAGAGGGGGGUGGAAUUCCGCGUGUAGCAGUGAAAUGCGUAGAUAUGCGGAGGAACACCGAUGGCGAAGGCAGCCCCCUGGGCCAACACUGACGCUCAUGCACGAAAGCGUGGGGAGCAAACAGGAUUAGAUACCCCUGUAGUCCCUGUCUCUUAUAU